GCUUAACACAUGCAAGUCGAGGGGCAGCAUGGUCCUAGCUUGCUAAGGCCGAUGGCGACCGGCGCACGGGUGAGUAACACGUAUCCAACCUGCCGUCUACUCUUGGACAGCCUUCUGAAAGGAAGAUUAAUACAAGAUGGCAUCAUGAGUCCGCAUGUUCACAUGAUUAAAGGUAUUCCGGUAGACGAUGGGGAUGCGUUCCAUUAGAUAGUAGGCGGGGUAACGGCCCACCUAGUCUUCGAUGGAUAGGGGUUCUGAGAGGAAGGUCCCCCACAUUGGAACUGAGACACGGUCCAAACUCCUACGGGAGGCAGCAGUGAGGAAUAUUGGUCAAUGGGCGAGAGCCUGAACCAGCCAAGUAGCGUGAAGGAUGACUGCCCUAUGGGUUGUAAACUUCUUUUAUAAAGGAAUAAAGUCGGGUAUGCAUACCCGUUUGCAUGUACUUUAUGAAUAAGGAUCGGCUAACUCCGUGCCAGCAGCCGCGGUAAUACGGAGGAUCCGAGCGUUAUCCGGAUUUAUUGGGUUUAAAGGGAGCGUAGAUGGAUGUUUAAGUCAGUUGUGAAAGUUUGCGGCUCAACCGUAAAAUUGCAGUUGAUACUGGAUAUCUUGAGUGCAGUUGAGGCAGGCGGAAUUCGUGGUGUAGCGGUGAAAUGCUUAGAUAUCACGAAGAACUCCGAUUGCGAAGGCAGCCUGCUAAGCUGCAACUGACAUUGAGGCUCGAAAGUGUGGGUAUCAAACAGGAUUAGAUACCCUGGUAGUCCACACGGUAAACGAUGAAUACUCGCUGUUUGCGAUAUACGGCAAGCGGCCAAGCGAAAGCGUUAAGUAUUCCACCUGGGGAGUACGCCGGCAACGGUGAAACUCAAAGGAAUUGACGGGGGCCCGCACAAGCGGAGGAACAUGUGGUUUAAUUCGAUGAUACGCGAGGAACCUUACCCGGGCUUAAAUUGCAGAUGAAUUACGGUGAAAGCCGUAAGCCGCAAGGCAUCUGUGAAGGUGCUGCAUGGUUGUCGUCAGCUCGUGCCGUGAGGUGUCGGCUUAAGUGCCAUAACGAGCGCAACCCUUGUUGUCAGUUACUAACAGGUUCCGCUGAGGACUCUGACAAGACUGCCAUCGUAAGAUGUGAGGAAGGUGGGGAUGACGUCAAAUCAGCACGGCCCUUACGUCCGGGGCUACACACGUGUUACAAUGGGGGGUACAGAGGGCCGCUACCACGCGAGUGGAUGCCAAUCCCCAAAACCUCUCUCAGUUCGGACUGGAGUCUGCAACCCGACUCCACGAAGCUGGAUUCGCUAGUAAUCGCGCAUCAGCCACGGCGCGGUGAAUACGUUCCCGGGCCUUGUACACACCGCCCGUCAAGCCAUGGGAGCCGGGGGUACCUGAAGUGCGUAACCGCGAGGAGCGCCCUAGGGUAAAACUGGUGACUGGGGC
rnacentral:rRNA from 1 species